ensembl:rRNA 5S_rRNA 5S ribosomal RNA
GUCAGCAGCCAUGUCACCCUGCAACUCACAACUGGCAACCCACUGAAGCUAAGCAGGUGUGAGCCUGGUCAGUACCUGGAUGGGAGACCUCCUGGGAAAAACUAAGGUUGCUGCUGGAA